CACGUAGGGCGCAAGCGUUGUCCGGAAUUAUUGGGCGUAAAGAGCUCGUAGGCGGUCUGUUGCGUCCGCUGUGAAAACUCGGGGCUUAACCCCGAGCCUGCAGUGGAUACGGGCAGACUAGAGGUAGGUAGGGGAGAAUGGAAUUCCCGGUGUAGCGGUGAAAUGCGCAGAUAUCGGGAGGAACACCGGUGGCGAAGGCGGUUCUCUGGGCCGCAACUGACGCUGAGGAGCGAAAGCAUGGGGAGCGAACAGG
rnacentral:rRNA from 1 species